rnacentral:rRNA from 1 species
UACGUAGGGGGCUAGCGUUGUCCGGAAUCAUUGGGCGUAAAGAGCGUGUAGGCGGUCCGGUAAGUCCGCUGUGAAAGUCGGGGGCUCAACCCUCGAAUGCCGGUGGAUACUGUCGGGCUAGAGUGCGGAAGAGGCGAGUGGAAUUCCUGGUGGAGCGGUGAAAUGCGCAGAUAUCAGGAGGAACACCCGUAGCGAAGGCGGCACUCUGGGCCGGAACUGACGCUGAGGAGCGAAAGCGUGGGGAGCGAACAGG